UACGGAGGAUGCAAGCGUUAUCCGGAAUGAUUGGGCGUAAAGCGUUUUAAGGUGGUUUGGUAAGUCUACUGUUAAAUAUCAGGGCUUAACCCUGAACAGGCAGUGGAAACUAGCAAGCUUGAGUACGGUAGGGGCAAAGGGAAUUCCCGGUGUAGCGGUGAAAUGCGCAGAUAUCAGGAGGAACACCGGUGGCGAAGGCGGUUCUCUGGGCAUGUCCUGACGCUGAGGAGCGAAAGUGUGGGGAGCGAACAGG
rnacentral:rRNA from 1 species